rnacentral:rRNA from 1 species
GGGGAAUUUUGGACAAUGGGGGAAACCCUGAUCCAGCCAUUCCGCGUGAGUGAAGAAGGCCUUCGGGUUGUAAAGCUCUUUCAGCAGGAACGAAACGGUCGGCUUUAAUACAGUCGGCUAAUGACGGUACCUGCAGAAGAAGCACCGGCUAACUACGUGCCAGCAGCCGCGGUAAUACGUAGGGUGCGAGCGUUAAUCGGAAUUACUGGGCGUAAAGCGUGCGCAGGCGGCGACAUAAGACAGAUGUGAAAUCCCCGGGCUCAACCUGGGAACUGCGUUUGUGACUGUGUUGCUAGAGUGUAGCAGAGGGGGGUGGAAUUCCACGUGUAGCAGUGAAAUGCGUAGAGAUGUGGAGGAACACCGAUGGCGAAGGCAGCCCCCUGGGUUAACACUGACGCUCAUGCACGAAAGCGUGGGGAGCAAAC